GGACACUUGUUUUGGAAACAAUUGAUUUUGAAAGUCAAUAAAAGCUGUUCAACUCAGCUAGUGCCCC
rnacentral:tRNA from 1 species